rnacentral:rRNA from 1 species
UACGUAGGUGGCAAGCGUUAAUCGGAAUUACUGGGCGUAAAGCGUGCGCAGGCGGUUUUGUAAGUCAGAUGUGAAAUCCCCGGGCUUAACCUGGGACUGCGUUUGAAACUACAAGGCUAGAGUGUGGCAGAGGGGGGUGGAAUUCCACGUGUAGCAGUGAAAUGCGUAGAGAUGUGGAGGAACACCGAUGGCGAAGGCAGCCCCCCUGGGUUAACACUGACGCUCAGGCACGAAAGCGUGGGGAGCAAACAGG